UGUGAGUGAUGCAAAUAAUUCUUGGGCAAAGCCCCGUGCGUGGCAGGGAUGAGGCAAUGAUGUCAUUUGCUUCCCAGUGAGAUUCCCUGAAGGAUACAGCUGCCUUUCCAUGCCAGUGCCAGGAUUUGCACAAGGAGAGGAAGAAACAAGUGGGAAGAACAGACUGGAAUUUUUUUUGCUGAGACUUUGGGGAUGCAGCUCUGGGAGCACGAGAGGAUGGAGAACACCAGAAAAAACCACAAUAUUACAGAGCACAAACACCUUUGUCUGUGAUCUGAUGGGUUAUGACUGAUGUACCCCCAGCUGGGAAACAAGCAAAGCACGACCCGCAAACA